rnacentral:rRNA from 1 species
AUUGAACGCUGGCGGCAUGCUUUACACAUGCAAGUCGAACGGGCUUGGGGGCUUGCUCCCAAGUUAGUGGCGAACGGGUGAGUAAUACAUCGGAACGUACCGUGUAGUGGGGGAUAACGUAGCGAAAGUUACGCUAAUACCGCAUACGAUCUACGGAUGAAAGCAGGGGACCUUCGGGCCUUGUGCUAUACGAGCGGCCGAUGUCUGAUUAGCUGGUUGGUGAGGUAAAGGCUCACCAAGGCGACGAUCAGUAGCGGGUCUGAGAGGAUGAUCAGCCACACUGGGACUGAGACACGGCCCAGACUCCUACGGGAGGCAGCAGUGGGGAAUCUUAGACAAUGGGGGAAACCCUGAUCUAGCCAUGCCGCGUGAGCGAUGAAGGCCUUAGGGUUGUAAAGCUCUUUCAGUGGGGAAGAUAAUGACGGUACCCGCAGAAGAAGCCCCGGCUAACUUCGUGCCAGCAGCCGCGGUAAU